CCCGGCAGGGCCCCGCCAGAGCUGCCUUUGCUGUUCGCCGGACCCGCGCUUGCGGACUGAGGCGGCGGCGGCGCCGCCGGGCAGGACCCGGCGCUCAGGUGGGAACCUCCUGCGUCUCGGCGCGGCGGGACUCUUCCCGCAAACGGCGUCUGGAGAAGGAGCUGCCGGAGUUCGGCCCCGGAGCGGGCGACUGCGGCCGCGACUGCUCUUCCCUUCGGAAAUAAACCUCUUCUCUCCCGGAAUGCGAGCGGCUGCUGUGGCCGCGCUGUUCGCUACCGACGUUGCGCCCUGGCAGACGCGAUCCGUGCCGGGCGGGAACACCGGCUGGAGAACGGGCGGGAACGAGCGCGGACAGUGCUGGCCUGGCGUAGAGCAUUUGAACAAAAGUUUGCGCACCUUGCCUCUCGCCCUGUUAGUGGGCGCCACCGAGGAGCGCCUGGCUGCCUCCGCUUCCAUCCCAUGAGGUGUUCGUGCACGUAGAAGAGGUCUGCCCGAGCCUUCUCUUCUCCAGGCUAAACAGCCCCGGUUCUCUCAGCCUUCCUUCAGACUCCAGGCCCUCCCUCGUCGUCGUGGUGGCCCAUCCCCGGACUCUCUCUGGUAUGUCCAUGCCUCUCUUGUACUGGGAAUCCCAGCACUGGACGCAGCACUCCAGGUGCGGCCUCGCCAGCGCUGAGCGAUUUCCCCAGGAAAGCUGGGGAAGGUGCCUUCUGCCAGCGCUGAAAAAAGGGCCUGUCCAGGGUAAAAAAACACCUCACACAAAUUCCUCCUUCUCGGGAAACGUAGUUAAGUAUGUAUACUGAUGGAAAGCAAUAAUAGGUUUAAAUGUACUGGAUUUGGAAUGAAUGCGGUGCUGUAAGUCAUUCUUGAGGAAAAGCUACACACUUUCACUUGAAUCAUCCUAAUGGAAUAUUUACUUGCUUAAGAAGCGUAGUAGUGAGAGAGGCCACUCUCUCUGAAGCUGAUACUCCAUUACUGCUGGGUAGUAUCUAAAUCCUUAAACCUGACACACGUGCAGACAGCAGCAACGCAGGCCUUGGUAUUGCUGAGCUGGAAGGGCUGUUCAGCUGCUGGGGGCUGUAGCGUAGUGAGAACAGCAGUACAGCCAUAACAUCCUUCAGACACUGGACAACUUACCUGAAAUACAAUUUAAAUGAUGUGACGAGCAAAGGGAAUAAAAGCAACUGCACCUCUCUGCUUAUACUUUUUUUUUUUAAUCAGAAUGCAGCGAUGACUGUCAGAAAUAACGUUUUGAUAAUCUAAUAUUACAGUGAAAAACCAUUAUGUUGUGAGGUUCUCAUUUCUGCCCUUUACUGUGUUUGGGCGUUUGGGAUAAUAGCCAAGUUUAGAACAGCAUUGUUAGAACUGAAAAUAAGGCAGUUUCCUACAGGUUCUUUUGCAUGGGAUCAGUUAAAAUGAAAACAUGUUUAAAAUUGAACAAUUGUAGUUCUUUUUUCCCCACUAUGAUAAAACCGUGUACCUGUAUUUCUCAAAAGCUGUACUUAACGUUUGUCCGUAAAGAAGUCUUGCUUAAGGCACAAGAAAACAAGUCUUUUCUUCAUAAACGUUACAGGUUUCUGUGAGGCACAGAGAUAAACGCACUGAAUGGCAAUUUCUGUCUUUGCUAGGUUCAGGUGAAUAAGAUGGUUAAGUCACUGAACAGAAGCCCUAUGAAAAUGAAAACUAGUUUUUGUUCAUACUGACUCAUGAAGGCAUGUAAAAUAUAGAUAAUGUGCAAGUAGUAAUCAAGCCUCCGUUUGAGAAAACUAACACCAACCUGUGUUUUAAUUGAUGAGAAUGUAUGUUUUUGAAAGGUCCAGAAGCCAGUAUGUGUUCACUUUCAAUUUUUUUAAGAGGCAAGUUUCUAAAGGCCACAAAACCACACUGUUGGCAUAUUUAUUUUAGCAAGUGGUGACCUAGAGACCGUGUGCUGCAACAUGGUAUUCCUGAGGAAGCAGAAUAGCUUUUUUAAAUUUCCCUGGGAUUUACUGAUUUGAUAUCCACCCAAACCCUGGUGAUAAACAGUGGGAGCAAAUCUGUAUCGUUAACAAACAACACAGAAACACCAAAAAUCCAAUUCCUUGUUACAUGCUGAAUGCCUUCACAGACCUGACUUCCUCCCCCCCCC